rnacentral:rRNA from 1 species
AUUGAACGCUGGCGGCAGGCCUAAUACAUGCAAGUCGAACGAGUGGCGGACGGGUGAGUAAUGUCUGGGAAACUGCCUGACGGAGGGGGAUAACUACUGGAAACGGUAGCUACUACCGCAUACCACCGGAUCUGCUCCGAUGGGAUUAGCUAGUAGCUGGGGUAACGGCUCACCUAGGCGACGAUCCCUAGCUGGUCUGAGAGGGUGACCAGUCACACUGGAACUGAGACACGGUCCAGACUCCUACGGGAGGCAGCAGUGGGGAAUAUUGGUCAAUGGGCGAAAGCCUGAUCCAGCCAUGCCGCGUGUGUGAAGAAGGUCUUCGGAUUGUAAAGCUCUUUAAGUUGGGAGGCGUUACCAACAGAAUAAGCACCGGCUAACUUCGUGCCAGCAGCCGCGGUAAUUC